AUUGAACGCUGGCGGCAGGCCUAACACAUGCAAGUCGAACGAGUGGCGGACGGGUGAGUAAUGUCUGGGAAACUGCCUGAUGGAGGGGGAUAACUACUGGAAACGGUAGCUAAUACCGCAUACCAUCGGAUGUGCCCAGAUGGGAUUAGCUAGUAGGGGGGGUAAAGGCUCACCUAGGCGACGAUCCCUAGCUGGUCUGAGAGGAUAACCAGCCACACUGGAACUGAGCCACGGUCCAGACUCCUACGGCAGGCAGCAGUUGGGAAUAUGGCACAAUGGGCGCAAGCCUGAUGCAGCCAUGCCGCGUGUAUGAAGAAGGCCUUCUGGUUGGAAAGUACUUUCAGCGGGGAGGCGUUACCAGCAGAAGAAGCACCGGCUAACUCCGUCCCAGCAGCCGCGGUAAUUC
rnacentral:rRNA from 1 species